rnacentral:miRNA from 1 species
AACCGAUGAUGAUGAUGAUGAUGAUGAUGAUGAUGAGAAUGAGGAUGAGGAUGGAAUUGAGGAAGAAGGUGAGAGCCGUCAUGAGCAUCAUCAUCGGCAUCGUCAUCAUAAAGG